CGAACGCUGGCGGCGUGCCUAAUACAUGCAAGUAGAACGCUGAGGUUUGGUGUUUACACUAGACUGAUGAGUUGCGAACGGGUGAGUAACGCGUAGGUAACCUGCCUCAUAGCGGGGGAUAACUAUUGGAAACGAUAGCUAAUACCGCAUAAGAGUAAUUAACACAUGUUAGUUAUUUAAAAGGAGCAAUUGCUUCACUGUGAGAUGGACCUGCGUUGUAUUAGCUAGUUGGUGAGGUAAAGGCUCACCAAGGCGACGAUACAUAGCCGACCUGAGAGGGUGAUCGGCCACACUGGGACUGAGACACGGCCCAGACUCCUACGGGAGGCAGCAGUAGGGAAUCUUCGGCAAUGGACGGAAGUCUGACCGAGCAACGCCGCGUGAGUGAAGAAGGUUUUCGGAUCGUAAAGCUCUGUUGUUAGAGAAGAACGUUGGUAGGAGUGGAAAAUCUACCAAGUGACGGUAACUAACCAGAAAGGGACGGCUAACUACGUGCCAGCAGCCGCGGUAAUACGUAGGUCCCGAGCGUUGUCCGGAUUUAUUGGGCGUAAAGCGAGCGCAGGCGGUUCUUUAAGUCUGAAGUUAAAGGCAGUGGCUUAACCAUUGUACGCUUUGGAAACUGGAGGACUUGAGUGCAGAAGGGGAGAGUGGAAUUCCAUGUGUAGCGGUGAAAUGCGUAGAUAUAUGGAGGAACACCGGUGGCGAAAGCGGCUCUCUGGUCUGUAACUGACGCUGAGGCUCGAAAGCGUGGGGAGCAAACAGGAUUAGAUACCCUGGUAGUCCACGCCGUAAACGAUGAGUGCUAGGUGUUAGGCCCUUUCCGGGGCUUAGUGCCGCAGCUAACGCAUUAAGCACUCCGCCUGGGGAGUACGACCGCAAGGUU
rnacentral:rRNA from 1 species